GCUGGAAUAGCUCAGUCGGUAGAGCAUGAGACUCUUAAUCUGGGGGGGGGGUGAGCCCCACAUUGGGCA